rnacentral:rRNA from 1 species
UACGUAGGGUGCAAGCGUUAAUCGGAAUUACUGGGCGUAAAGUGUGCGCAGGCGGCCGAGCAAGUCGAGUGUGAAAGCCCCGGGCUUAACUUGGGAAUUGCGCUCGAAACUACUUGGCUGGAGUGUGGCAGAGGAAGGUGGAAUUCCAGGUGUAGCGGUGAAAUGCGUAGAUAUCUGGAGGAACACCGGUGGCGAAGGCGGCAUCCUGGACCGAGAUUGACGCUGAGGCGCGAAAGCUAGGGGAGCAAACGGG